CGGACACGACUGCAGCGACUUGGCACGCACGCACAGGAGGGAGCAGGUGGAGCAGAUGGCCAGGGAGUGAGAUAAGGCGAGACAAGACCUGGAGAAAGCUGAGCAGAGGAACCUGGAGUUUGUGAAAGAGACGGACGACCUCCAUUCCGCCGUGGAACAUCUCGCGGAGGAGAAGGUCAGGACCUGCAGGACCAUAACGAUGAGCUGCAGGCUGCCCUGCAAGGCCUGCAGGCACAGACGGCCCCGAGUCGGCACAGCCACCUGCCCCUGGGACACGGCCUGGGAGGCACCAUCACGUUCGUGGGUUAUUCAGCCCCAGCGAGUACAGAAAUAGAGAUCAUGUUGAAGCAGCUGAAGGAGCGUUACCAAGAACUCAGGAUCCAGCUGGAGACCCAGGUUAGUGACCACGAGAGGAAGAUGGAGGUGAUGAAAGGGGCCUUUGCAGAGGAGAGGAGGCAGCUGGAGCGGGGCUUCCAGCUCGAGGUUGGCGUGGUUCAGGGUCAGAAGGGCAAGCUGGCGACGCUGCACGCGGAGUCACAGGAGGUCAUCUGAGGCCUGCGGGAGCAGCUGCAGAGGAGGGCAGAGCUGGAGCAGGGCCACGCAUGGCAGCUGGGCCGGGAGACAGUGCUUCAGUGGCUCAGGUCCACCACCCUGGCUGUGCGGGAUCUCACGUCCAGGGUUCGUUGCCAAGAACCCGGAUCUGAAAUUGAAUUUGAGCAGAUUGCUCAGAGUCACAAGUACUCGUUACCUGAGUGGUGAGCCCUGAAAGAACAGGUUAUUUUGCAAAGGUUCUGACUUUUCUUUCUGCCGCACUGUGCGCAUGGCCUGAGAGAUCUUAGUUCCCUCACCAGGGAUGACACUUGUGCCCUUGUGAUGGAUACAUGGAGUCUUCACCACUGGACUGCCAGGCAAGUCCCAAAGAAUCUGACUUAAAAAAUACAGUCUCCCUCAUCUGUCAUCUCGUGGCUCCUGGGGAGGUGAAUAAAAGGCCUUAAUGCCCCCAAAUAAUGGGAAAGGCCUUUACUUUGGGUUAGUGGAGUCUUGAAAGAAACAGAUUUGUGAGCAAAGGAGAGAAAAGGUUUGCUUGGCGAACUGGAGCAUGAUCUUCUGUGCUAGAGAAGAAGGGCCCACACGCCCAUCCUCUGGGCCCCACCAGGGAGCUGGGGGCUGGGGAGGCCUGAGGGGAGGCUGGAGGUGGGGAGGCCUCUGUGAGCCGGUGAUGGGAGCGCUCAGGUGUGCAGCCUGGCCCUCCUCCCCGGGCCCCCUGGGGCUCAGGCCGGCACCCACUCCCUCUCAGGAGCCCAGGACUCCAGAAGGGCUUUUCCAGGAGCUUCGCAGCAGCACACAGGAGAUGACUCGGGUGACUGCAGGCAGGCACAGCUGUGUGUUGUGGUUGCGGCUCUAUGCACUGUGUCUUUUGGCCCCGUGAGCGCCCGCACAGCACUCCCGCAGGCUCCUGGCAUCCUGUGGAGACAGAGGCUUCGUGAGGUGUUGUGUCCCUUGUCUGGGCAGAGGACACUGGCCCACCGCAUAUCCAGGUGUGGCCAGGUGAGGCGCCAGCUCCUGCCUGCUAGGUGACCAUCGCACGUUGCUUCACCAGUAAACAGGUCACGGGGGGUUUAUGGUACGCACCUCCCAGCUUGAGGAAGGAAAUAUUAGCAUGGCCAGUAGCCCCAGGCUCUGUUCCCAGGCCCCCCCACUUCUCCCCAAGGCAUCUGGACUGUUUAUCACCCUCUAGACCUGGUCUAGGCCUCUGCCUCGGAUGCAGGGGUCCCCCAACAACAUGGAGCCUUGGUCGUGGUGGACUGACUUCUGAAUGCCCUGCUCCAUGAAGCAGAGGUGGUGCUGGGCCUCACGAGUGGCACGGAGCCUCAGGUGAACGUCUGGACCCACUGUUACUGUUGCGGCUGCGAUCAAAAGCUGGUCUUGGGCCCAAUGGACCUGCGAGUCCACAUCAGGCCCCAGGCACACUCGGGGCCCUUCAGUGUGGGAGCAGCCCAGCGGCCACACGCCCUCUCUGCCGUCUGUCUCGGGCACUUCCGGUGGACAGGCACAGGAGCCCAGUGCUGUCCUAGUGCUCCACCCCGCCCCCGGGCCCGGCGGGCUGUGCUGGUCCUCUCUGCUUCUCCUGACUCACAGCAUGCCCUGGCUUGUUGGCCCCACAGCUAACGUCUCGGUUCCCGUCUCAGUGGUGUCUGGAUCAUUGGACAGGGUUUCCUGGGCACCUGCCACGUGCUGUCACAGCCGGGGCUGCAGCCCAGAGUUGGAUGCCUGGUUAGAUGCUUUCUUUAGGGACCAUCUUCUUCACUCUAAUGUGUGGUCUUUCGUGAAAGUGUCUUUGGAGGACAUUCCCUCAGUUUUUGUGUAUCUGAAAAUGUCUCAGAUUCUCUCCCAUUUCUGAAGGCCGGUCCUCCCAGGAGAACAGGCCUUGAUGCGCAGUUGAAGGCUGCCCUCUGCCCUCUGACCUGGGCAGGCUGCUCUUAGUGAGCAUCCAUUUUCCGUUGCUGUGGUGAUGAGUUACCAGGAAGUCAGAGGCUUAAAGCAUCACAACGUAGGAUUUCACGGUGUUCGAGCCUGAAAAUCAGAAGUGGGUAUGACUGGGCGGGAAUCUCGGUGUUGGCAGCCGCCUUCCUUUCUUGGAAGCUCGGUUGGAAACCUGCAGACCUCCCAUUCUUGAUCCACACCUUCCUUCUCUAAGGCUAGCAGUGACUGGUUGGUCCUCCUUGCGCUCCGUCCUGACUCCCAGUCUUCUGCCUGCUCUUCCACAGAGGAGGACCCUAGUGGACAGUCUAGGACACUCUUUCCAUCUAAGGGCAGUGAAUUAGCAGCUUUAAUUCCUUUUGUUGCGUUGAUUCCCCUUUGCUAUGAAAUAGCACAUUUGCAGGUUCUGGAUGCAGACGUCUUUUAGAGGCUGUUUUUCUGUCCCCACAGGAGGUGACCUGAGUUGUGUCCUCUGGUUGCUAUUAGCUUCUCCAUCUUUUGUGGUUUUUCUUUGGUGUGUUUAGGUGUCUCUUUCUUGUGUUUUAACUUUUUAUUGAAGUGUUAGAUGCACACACAGAAAAACUCACACGUGUAUGCAUGCAACUGGAAGAAUUGUUGGUGAAUUGGACACAUCUGUGUCACCGGCACCCAGAACAUGUUCCCCAGGGUUACUGUUGCAAGUCGGGUAGUGGUAACCCCUGGGGGAGCUCUGGGGAGCCCCAUUUUUUGUUCUCGGUGCUGGUAUACCUAAGAAUGGAAUUGUUGAGUCUUAGGGCACAGAUGCGGUUUUCUUUUUACUUACCGUACUUUGAAAUAUUAUGCCUGUUGAAUAUAUAGAUUUGUGUCCUAUGAAAAUCUUUCAGACAUUCUUUGUAAAAUAUUGCCUCUCCCCUCAGUGGCCUUUUCAGUUGGUUGUAUGAUAUUACAUCUUUUCACUUUUCCUCCUUUUCUUAACCUCUCUUUCAUUUCUUCCAUCUUCUUUUCUGUACAUGGCACUUUAUGGGUACUUCUGUGUUCCAUGUCAGUGAAUCUUUCUUCAGCUAUAUCUGAUCUACCAGUGAGCUUUUAUUUUGACUUUUUUUUUUUUCAUUUUCAAACAUUCUAUUUGGUCCUGCUUGAUCGUUUCCGAUAGCUUCUUAUUGCUCGCUCGUCCACUUUUUAUUUCCAUUUUUUAUUUAAGUAAACAUUUAAUAAUAUUUAUCCGACGUUUGUGUCUGAUAUUUCCAAUAUCUGGAAUCUAAUUCUGUUGUUUUGGCUUCUUCUGACUCUCGUAAGUGGUCUCUCCCAUAUAUGUUGCGGUGACCUUUGUGAGCUCAUGCUUACAAGAUGUUUAUCGCUGGGAAUCCUGAGAACUGUAGAAGAGGGUUCUCCCUGCAGAAAGGAUGCGUUUUGCUUUUGCCAAGAAGACUUGGGAGCCUCUUAAUCUGAGACCACUUUAACCUCUUCCACGGAACCAGCCCACCACAUGUGGCCCUGGUGUGGUUUCUCCACACUGAGGUAGGUGUUGGCCUCAGGGUAAGCCCAUCUUUGUGUUGCUUAAUGCUCACAGCUUUGGUUUCAGCAUUCAGGUUUUUGUUUAAGGGCUCCUGGAGGUUUCUAUAGCCGUCUGUGAGGACACCAGACGUUAGAUGAUCAGCUUUGCACACGCUCUGAGUAAUUGGUGCAUGUGGAGGACUGAGAUGAGGCAACCACCAUCUUAUUCAAGGUCCAGGAAACUGGAAACAGAACCCCUCCUGACUGCCACCCACAUGCACACACACCGCUACCUUUGAAUCAAUUUUGUUUUCCAUCCAGGAGUCUGAAUGACAGUUCAAAACACAGACCUCACUUCUGAUCACUCUCUUCCUUGAAACCCUUCACUUCUUUUAAAAUUCCAUGACUUCUAUGUCUUCAUUUUUCUCUUUAGUUCCUCAUGAGAAAAA